rnacentral:rRNA from 1 species
AUGCUUGUCUACUCGAAGUCCAACUCCGAAUAUGGCUUGGAUUUGUUCUAGAGAGGGUGAAAGCCCCGUACGGGUAGACUUUUUGUCUUUAAAGCAUUCCUUAGAUGUUCAUGUUUUAGAGUCGGAUUGCUUGAGAAUGCAGUCCAAAGUGGGUGGUAAACUCCAUCCAAGGCUAAAUACCUGCACGAAUCCGAUAGUAGACAAGUACCGCGAGGGAAAGUUGAAAAGUACUCUGAAGAGAGAGUAAAUAGUACGUGAAGCCGUUUGCAUGGAAGCUGGUGGAGUCAAGCUUCUCGUUUUAAGAAUUGACAUGGAGAACUUUGUUUGUGGGCAGACUAUUCAUUGGCUUGAAAACGACCAGACGGUUCGCCGUCUCAUCUAUUCUUGGCAGUGUAUAUGUUGUGAAUUUGCCUUGCCCAUUCUCUUAUGUUAUUUCUUUUUACGAGUAUCACUGUGAAUGUGUGUCAUUAUGCGGCGUAGUCAAACCGUGUUUUAGAGGGUCUUCUGGCUCACUAGGCAUGGGAUGGCAUGUGGAUGUAGGCCGGAUUCGUCUGGUCUGCUUCGUAUAAUAGCUUCGCUUGCUGGUUGCGUCGCUUAUUGAUUAUUGCACAUAUUCUUCCUAUUGUAGUGGUGUCCGAAAUGGUAGCCACUAUCUAGAGCAGUGGUAUUGAAGUAGAUG